rnacentral:misc_RNA from 1 species
GAAAUGCGAUAAGUAGUGUGAAUUGCAGAAUUCAGUGAAUCAUCAAAUCUUUGAACGCACAUUGCGCCCUUUGGUAUUCCAAAGGGCAUGCCUGUUCGAGCGUCAUUUGUACCCUCAAGCUUUGCUUGGUGUUGGGCGUCUUGUCUCCAGUUCGCUGGAGACUCGCCUUAAAGUAAUUGGCAGCCGGCCUACUGGUUUCGGAGCGCAGCACAAGUCGCGCUCUCUUCCAGCCAAGGUCAGCAUCCACAAAGCCUUUUUUCAACUUUUGACCUCGGAUCAGGUAGGGAUACCCGCUGAACUUAAGC